rnacentral:tRNA from 1 species
GUUACUUUGGCAGAUUAGUGCAAUUGAUUUAGAAUCUUUAUAUGUAAGGUUUUACAGGUAAUA